GAUGAACGCUAGCUACAGGCUUAACACAUGCAAGUUCAGGGGCAGCAUUUCAGUUUGCUUGCAAACUGGAGAUGGCGACCGGCGCACGGGUGAGUAACACGUAUCCAACCUGCCGAUAACUCGGGGAUAGCCUUUCGAAAGAAAGAUUAAUACCCGAUGGUAUAAUCAGACCGCAUGGUCUUGUUAUUAAAGAAUUUCGGUUAUCGAUGGGGAUGCGUUCCAUUAGGCAGUUGGUGAGGUAACGGCUCACCAAACCUUCGAUGGAUAGGGGUUCUGAGAGGAAGGUCCCCCACAUUGGAACUGAGACACGGUCCAAACUCCUACGGGAGGCAGCAGUGAGGAAUAUUGGUCAAUGGGCGCAGGCCUGAACCAGCCAAGUAGCGUGAAGGAUGACUGCCCUAUGGGUUGUAAACUUCUUUUAUAUGGGAAUAAAGUUUUCCACGUGUGGAAUUUUGUAUGUACCAUAUGAAUAAGGAUCGGCUAACUCCGUGCCAGCAGCCGCGGUAAUACGGAGGAUCCGAGCGUUAUCCGGAUUUAUUGGGUUUAAAGGGAGCGUAGGUGGACAGUUAAGUCAGUUGUGAAAGUUUGCGGCUCAACCGUAAAAUUGCAGUUGAUACUGGCUGUCUUGAGUACAGUAGAGGUGGGCGGAAUUCGUGGUGUAGCGGUGAAAUGCUUAGAUAUCACGAAGAACUCCGAUUGCGAAGGCAGCUCACUGGACUGCAACUGACACUGAUGCUCGAAAGUGUGGGUAUCAAACAGGAUUAGAUACCCUGGUAGUCCACACAGUAAACGAUGAAUACUCGCUGUUUGCGAUAUACAGUAAGCGGCCAAGCGAAAGCAUUAAGUAUUCCACCUGGGGAGUACGCCGGCAACGGUGAAACUCAAAGGAAUUGACGGGGGCCCGCACAAGCGGAGGAACAUGUGGUUUAAUUCGAUGAUACGCGAGGAACCUUACCCGGGCUUAAAUUGCAUUUGAAUAUAUUGGAAACAGUAUAGCCGUAAGGCAAAUGUGAAGGUGCUGCAUGGUUGUCGUCAGCUCGUGCCGUGAGGUGUCGGCUUAAGUGCCAUAACGAGCGCAACCCUUAUCUUUAGUUACUAACAGGUCAUGCUGAGGACUCUAGAGAGACUGCCGUCGUAAGAUGUGAGGAAGGUGGGGAUGACGUCAAAUCAGCACGGCCCUUACGUCCGGGGCUACACACGUGUUACAAUGGGGGGUACAGAAGGCAGCUACCUGGUGACAGGAUGCUAAUCCCAAAAGCCUCUCUCAGUUCGGAUCGAAGUCUGCAACCCGACUUCGUGAAGCUGGAUUCGCUAGUAAUCGCGCAUCAGCCAUGGCGCGGUGAAUACGUUCCCGGGCCU
rnacentral:rRNA from 1 species